rnacentral:lncRNA from 1 species
UAUAAUAACUCUUAGGUUACAGGACUAAUAUGUAUUCAUGCAAGAGUUUCCACCAUUUCAGAUCCAUACGCAGAUUUCACAAAAAUAUAAAGAACAACAUGAAAUACCCAUAAUAUAUUCAGGUUUGGAAUGCAUAUAGCAUUUUAUUACAUAAAACAACAUUAUUAAGGAAAUUAUUACCAUGUGUAUCAUGAAAUGCUCAUCAAGACCAUCCCGUGGAAGACAUCUCUGCAAGUAGAUAAAACAAGAAAUCAUAAAACUGUCAUCACUUACUCUGCAGGUUAUCAUAGUAUCUAUAAAAUAGAAGUGUAUGAAUGAUGUUAUUCAUUCUGAUGUCAAUGAGAAAGUUAUACAGAAUAUUUGUAUUAUGAUAUGUUUUUUAAUAUAGUUGAUUUUUGGGAAUAAGUAUGGAUUUCACACUUAGCACUUUGAAG